UUAUCGCCGUCUUUUGGCUCAGAGAGAAUGUAGUAUCUGUUCUUAUCAGUUUAAUAUCGACGCCCCCAUCGGGGUCUACGAUAUUAAAUGGAUUUUUCGAACAGGGAGUCGGAAAUGGGGUUUGCUCCCGGUCCGGGCUUCCACGCAGACGACCCGGUAUUGUAGUACCCGGGAAUGGUGCAACACUU